rnacentral:snoRNA from 1 species
CUACGUUGAUGGAGUUUCUUAGGACACCUUUGGAUUAAAAAUGAAAACAAUUACUUUCUGGGCAUC